UACGAAGGGGGCUAGCGUUACUCGGAAUUACUGGGCGUAAGGGGCGCGUAGGCGGUUCAGUCAGUCAGGCGUGAAAUUCCCGGGCUCAACCUGGGGACUGCGCUUGAUACAGCUGGACUUGAGGAUGGAAGAGGGUCGUGGAAUUCCCAGUGUAGAGGUGAAAUUCGUAGAUAUUGGGAAGAACGCCGGUGGCGAAGGCGGCGACCUGGUCCAUUACUGACGCUGAGGCGCGACAGCGUGGGGAGCAAACAGG
rnacentral:rRNA from 1 species